AGCCCGAGUUGUAAUUUGCAGAGGAUGCUUCUGGGUAGCGGCCGGUCUAAGUUCCUUGGAACAGGACGUCAUAGAGGGUGAGAAUCCCGUAUGUGAUUGGCUUGCACCCUCCACGUAGCUCCUUCGACGAGUCGAGUUGUUUGGGAAUGCAGCUCUAAAUGGGAGGUAAAUUUCUUCUAAAGCUAAAUACCGGCCAGAGACCGAUAGCGCACAAGUAGAGUGAUCGAAAGAUGAAAAGCACUUUGGAAAGAGAGUUAAAAAGCACGUGAAAUUGUUGAAAGGGAAGCGCCUGCAACCAGACUUUGCGGCAGUGUUCGGCCGGUCUUCUGACCGGUUUACUCGCUGCCGUGAGGCCAUCAUCGUCUGGGACCGCUGGAUAAGACCUUAGGAAUGUGGCUCCCCUCGGGGAGUGUUAUAGCCUCUGGUGAUGCGGCGCGUCUCGGGCGAGGUCCGCGCUUCGGCAAGGAUGAUGGCGUAAUGGUUGCCGGCGGCCCGUCUUGAAACACGGACCAAGGAGUCUAACAUCUAUGCGAGUGUUCGGGUGUCAAACCCCUACGCGUAAUGAAAGUGAACGGAGGUGGGAACUUUUUGUGCACCAUCGACCGAUCCUGAUGUCCUCGGAUGGAUUUGAGUAAGAGCAUAGCUGUUGGGACCCGAAAGAUGGUGAACUAUGCCUGAAU
rnacentral:rRNA from 1 species